AGUGAACGCUGGCGGUAGGCCUAACACAUGCAAGUCGAACGGCAGCACAGUAAGAGCUUGCUCUUACGGGUGGCGAGUGGCGGACGGGUGAGGAAUACAUUGGAAUCUACUUUUUCGUGGGGGAUAACGUAGGGAAACUUACGCUAAUACCGCAUACGACCUACGGGUGAAAGCAGGGGGUCUUCGGACCUUGCGCGAUUGAAUGAGCCGAUGUCGGAUUAGCUAGUUGGCGGGGUAAAGGCCCACCACGGCGACGAUCCGUAGCUGGUCUGAGAGGAUGAUCAGCCACACUGGAACUGAGACACGGUCCAGACUCCUACGGGAGGCAGCAGUGGGGAAUAUUGGACAAUGGGCGCAAGCCUGAUCCAGCCAUACCGCGUGGGUGAAGAAGGCCUUCGGGUUGUAAAGCCCUUUUGUUGGGAAAGAAAAGCAGCAGGUUAAUACCCCGCUGUUCUGACGGUACCCAAAGAAUAAGCACCGGCCAACUUCGUG
rnacentral:rRNA from 1 species